rnacentral:rRNA from 1 species
UACGUAGGGUGCAAGCGUUAAUCGGAAUUACUGGGCGUAAAGAGUGUGUAGGUGGUGUCGUAAGUUUGGUGUGAAAUCUCCCGGCUUAACUGGGAGGGUGCGCCGAAGACUGCGAUGCUGGAGUAUGGGAGAGGAAAGCGGAAUUCCUGGUGUAGCGGUGAAAUGCGUAGAGAUCGGGAGGAACACCCGUGGCGAAGGCGGCUCACUGGGCUGACCUUGACGCUGAGGCGCGAAGGCGUGGGGAGCGAACGGG